GUGGCAAACAGGUCCAAAUGGCUCUUUGAGUAAGGUGACCAGACGUCCCGCUUUUGGCGGGACAGUCCCGCUUUUGAGCAAUUUGUCCCGUGUCCCGCGGCGUUUUAAAAAUGUCCCGAUUUUUCAUUCUGCCUCCUGAGUCCCGGCUGCCUCCUGAAUCCCCGCUGAUGGCUAGAGGGAAAAAAAACUGUUUAAACUCUUGCCGCGGGGCUUCAAAGGGCCGACCUACAGCUGAUCAGUGUUAAAAAAAAAAUGAGUAGACCCAUCCCUGCAAAAAUAGAAAAAACAGCCCCUGUUAACAGCUUCCGCUAGGUUAAUUAGCUGCAAAAAGCUGCAAAAAGUUCCUGGAGCAGAUUUUUUUCCCCCAGCAAUGCUGAAAACAAAGGCGAAAGCGAAAGUAAAGCUGCAACGUGACAAAAUGAGGCAGAGAGAGAUUUCUUUCUUUUUCUUUUUCUUUUUCCUCACCAAAAAAGGAUGUGCAGUACGUGCCAAAAGGAGGCUUGGGAAGCAUUAACAUUGAGCACCUGGCAUUGUCCUCAAAGUUAUUUUGACUUGGACUGAAAGAGAAACUGGACAGCUGGCUUGUACAGAAUAGAUUUGUCAGUCAGUAUGAUGAUAAUUUGUAUUGCUAUACCUCAGAUUAAUAUAAUGGGAAAAAAAAUUAUUGACUAAUUGGUGGGGCAUAUGCCGAGGACCAGAAUAAAGCAGGAAGGAACUGUUGAUCUGCAUGUCAACUCCAUUCCAAUUGAUAGAUCAGAUUUUUAAAAAUCUUUUGCUAUUGACACAGGUCUAUUGGUUUCCAGGAAGGAGUGCCUAGAGCAGUGAUAGCUAGCCUAUUCGGCACCUAAUGCCGAAACUGGAGCGCGGCCAAAGCCGUGAGGGCACACGUGCUGUUGCUCUUCUGGGUUCCGGUGCACACAUGCACGGCAGCCAGCUGCUCUUCUGGGUUCCAGCACGCAUGCCCACUGGCCAGCUGCUCUCUUCCUGGUUCCGGUGUGUGCAUGUGCGCCAACCAGCUAGUCUUCAUGCAAAGAGCAGCUGGCCGCUGCGCAUGCGCA